rnacentral:rRNA from 1 species
GUGGGGAAUAUUGGUCAAUGGGCGAGAGCCUGAACCAGCCAAGUAGCGUGAAGGAAGACUGCCCUACGGGUUGUAAACUUCUUUUGUACGGGAAUAAAGUGCGCCACGUGUGGUGUUUUGCAUGUACCGUACGAAUAAGGACCGGCUAAUUCCGUGCCAGCAGCCGCGGUAAUACGGAAGGUCCGAGCGUUAUCCGGAUUUAUUGGGUUUAAAGGGAGCGCAGGCGGAAUGUUAAGUCAGCUGUGAAAUCCCGUCGCUCAACGGCGGAACUGCAGUUGAUACUGGCUUUCUUGAGUGCACAUAAGGAUGGUGGAAUUCGUGGUGUAGCGGUGAAAUGCUUAGAUAUCACGAAGAACUCCGAUUGCGAAGGCAGCCAUCUGGGGUGCAACUGACGCUGAGGCUCGAAAGUGCGGGUAUCAAACAGG